GACGGGGGGGCAAGUGUUCUUCGGAAUGACUGGGCGUAAAGGGCACGUAGGCGGUGAAUCGGGUUGAAAGUGAAAGUCGCCAAAAAGUGGCGGAAUGCUCUCGAAACCAAUUCACUUGAGUGAGACAGAGGAGAGUGGAAUUCGUGUGUAGGGGUGAAAUCCGUAAAUAUACGAAGGAACACCGGUGGCGAAGGCGGCAUCCUGGACCAACACUGACGCUGAGGAGCGAAAAGCCAGGGGAGCAAACGGGG
rnacentral:rRNA from 1 species